rnacentral:rRNA from 1 species
GACAGCCAGGAUGUUGGCUUAGAAGCAGCCAUCAUUUAAAGAAAGCGUAAUAGCUCACUGGUCGAGUCGGCCUGCGCGGAAGAUGUAACGGGGCUAAACCAUGCACCGAAGCUGCGGCAGCGACGCUGAUGCGUUGUUGGGUAGGGGAGCGUUCUGUAAGCCUGCGAAGGUGGCCUGUGAGGGUUGCUGGAGGUAUCAGAAGUGCGAAUGCUGACAUAAGUAACGAGCGGGGGAG